rnacentral:tRNA from 1 species
AACUGCCUGACUCAGGCAGAGUAUGUGACUCUUGUUCACGGGGUUGUGAGUUCGAGCCCCACGGUGGGUA